AUGAUUUUUUCACUUGAUGGAUCCUGUGUAUGUAUCCCUUUGUUAGAGUCUGGAUGGUACUACUAGUCACAAACACUUGACACUUGUGUGAUUCUUCUGUCCAUGGAUGUACUGUGUACAACAAUUUGAUGGGAAUGUAAUUUGGUAUAUGGUUUUAAUUUCAUUUCAUGGAAUGUGAUUUGUAAUGACCCAGUAAAAUUCACAUCCAUAAAUUGUCCUGCUCAUGCACACGAAAAAC
rnacentral:lncRNA from 1 species